rnacentral:rRNA from 1 species
UGUCGUGGGCGUAGGAUAUUUGAGAGGAGCUGACCUUAGUACGAGAGGACCGGGUCGGACGUACCUCCGGUGCACCGGUUGUUCUGCCAAGGGCAUAGCCGGAUAGCCGCGUACGGAAGUGAUAAACGCUGAAGGCAUCUAAGCGUGAAACAUGCUUCAAGAUUAGAUAUCCCACAACUUAAGUUGGUAAGGUCACUUGUAGACUACAAGUUUGAUAGGUCAGAGGUGUACGCACAGUAAUGUGUUUAGCUGACUGAUACUAAUUGACCGAGGGCUUGAACUU